UACGUAGGGUGCAAGCGUUGUCCGGAAUUAUUGGGCGUAAAGAGCUCGUAGGCGGCCUGUCGCGUCGGCUGUGAAAACCCGGGGCUCAACCCCGGGCCUGCAGUCGAUACGGGCAGGCUAGAGUCCGGCAGGGGAGACUGGAAUUCCUGGUGUAGCGGUGAAAUGCGCAGAUAUCAGGAGGAACACCGGUGGCGAAGGCGGGUCUCUGGGCCGGAACUGACGCUAAGGAGCGAAAGCGUGGGGAGCAAACAGG
rnacentral:rRNA from 1 species